GGGAACCCUCAUCACAAAGAAAAAAAAUAAUACAAGUGUUUCCAGGUUUCAUAAUUUUGCUCUCGGUUCUUUGAAAAAAGAAAAAAAAAGGUCAUCUUUCAUGUCCUUUAUAUCCCAACAUCUUCCACUUGCUGCUUUUUAGUGUGAAGAGAGAAAUGCACCACGUGGCAACGCACAAAAAGACAGCAGAAGCCACAGAAUAAGGCUUCCGUUUUCCAGUCACACUGCCCCAGUUUCGGGAGCCUCCAGGAUGCACUCAGACUCAUCAGGACGUGGUUCUGUGGCAGACUGGAAGAAGCCCACUGUUCUGAGCCCUAAAGCCAAAAGCGACGUGUGAGAAAAAAGUAACCAAGACAAUGGCAUGAGAAGAUUCCAGACCAGACGGUAAACUGCUGUGUAUUUGGGAAUUACUCACUUCAACUGUUUCAGUCACAGCUUGUCCACUUUAAAUGAGGUAAAAAUUACCUGAAACCCUGAUACUCACUUGAACGUAUGAUAGAAUGUGUUAAUGUUUAAAU
rnacentral:lncRNA from 1 species